rnacentral:rRNA from 1 species
UACGAAGGGGGGCUAGCGUUGCUCGGAAUCACUGGGCGUAAAAGCGCACGUAGGCCGUUUUGCUAAGUCAGGGGUGAAAUCCUGGAGCUCAACUCCAGAACUGCCUUUGAUACUGGCGGACUCGAGUCCGGGAGAGGUGAGUGGAACUGCGAGUGUAGAGGUGAAAUUCGUAGAUAUUCGCAAGAACACCAGUGGCGAAGGCGGCUCACUGGCCCGGUACUGACGCUGAGGUGCGAAAGCGUGGGGAGCAACAGG